rnacentral:snoRNA from 1 species
GUUUGCAUUCCAUGACCUGCUUCCUUUUACAUAUGUGAGCAGUAUUACUUUUUAUGUACUAUACAAAUAAUUGAAGGUUAACUAGAAGUAUAACUAAAUCACAAUGUCAUGAUUACAAUAAUGUCGUGGAGAA